rnacentral:rRNA from 1 species
UACAGAGGUCCCAAGCGUUGUUCGGAUUCACUGGGCGUAAAGGGUGCGUAGGCGGUCGGGUAAGUCUGAUGUGAAAUCUCACAGCUUAACUGUGAAACUGCAUUGGAUACUAUUCGGCUUGAGAGUUGGAGGGGGGACUGGAAUUCUUGGUGUAGCAGUGAAAUGCGUAGAUAUCAAGAGGAACACCAGUGGCGUAGGCGAGUCCCUGGACAACUUCUGACGCUGAGGCACGAAAGCUAGGGGAGCAAACAGG